GCGGCCGCACCGGGCCCAGCCCUCGGUGCAGCGACCUGGGAGCCUACCCCGCUGUCCUGCAGCCCCGCUGUCCUGCAGCCCCUCUGUCCCGCAGCCGUGCGGAUGUGGUUUCUCCCAUUCCUGGCCCUGCCCUGUAGCUGUGCGCCCUGUCCCCAGGCCCCAGGCCCUGGUGUCCCUCUCUGAGACUGGGUGACCAGGAAGCAGGUGAACUUGGCCAGGCUGCAGGCCGGAUUCCCAGGCAUCCUGCGGCUGAUUAAUCCAAUCUCCCUAAGGUGGGACAAGGGGAGUGUGGACGUGGCUGGAAUCCCGCAUGUGUCCUGGGGGAGACCGCCUGAGUUUCUUCAUGAGCGAGAGACGCAGACGGAGAGGCAGAGGCAGCGCCCGACCAGGCCCUGGGCCACGACCACCCCAGCCCUGGCUCACCCUGUAUCAGCACAACGCUC